ensembl:lncRNA
GUUUUCCUGCCCUUCACAAGUGCCUGUGCUUGCUUUAUUAGUAGACAAGGAUCAGAGGAACCAUCACAGCAGCAGGAAUUGAUAAAUUGUAGGUAAGAUGUUCUGCAUCAUCACCACUCGUUCCCCAUUUGAACCAAAAAUUCCAGCAAGCAGAAACUUCAAAAUAGAUGGAUAAGCGGCUUCUGGAGAGCCCUGUGAGAAUUAGAAUUAUGACACACUCCCUCUGACCAUGACUGAAAGCUCAACUUGCCAGCUGAAGGGACGCUCCUGGCUGAGCCCCAGCACCCUCUGUUGGAGCUCCUAGUCAGCCUGGCCAAUAAGCAUUUCCCAUCCAUUGCCCCAGCUUUAGCACAGCUGAGAGAAUUUGGUCCAGAGUCAAGUGCUUCUGAAAAUGUACACACAAAUCAGGACAGCCCUUCUGCCAAGACACCCGAGUGCCCUUCUUGGCAAAAAUGAUCACCCCUGCCCUAGUGUCCCUCCAGUUGGCAGAAACUGCUCCCUCUCUCCUCAGCAACAGCUGCAAGUCUGGGGCCUUCCACCCUGUGUACAGGAAGAGUUGAGGUCCUGAAUCAGCUCUUCACAGCAGAGGGAGAAGUACUAGGUGGUUUGCCCUCACGGAUGCACCUCGCUGCCGCUUUUGGCGGGUAAUCAGGACCGAUUAUUCCCCUACUGGAAGAGGUGACUCAGACUCCACAGGUUAGGGGGUGAUUUCACUGCUUUGGCAGCCUCAGCUUAACCUUCACACUGGAUCUCAUCACCCCGGAAACAAAUGAUUUCAAGGACCAGAAACCCUUAUAAACUGGAACCUCUCCUUCUCAACUAAUGUCAAGGAAUUAAAUCACUCUGGUAUUUUGCAAAGACCAUUCUAGGUACAGUUGAUCGUAGAGGAGAUAACUGAGAACCCCAGCUAGGUGGACACACCUGGUGUGACCUGGGACGGACACCGUUUUCUCUCUGACCUUGGAGGGAUCUAGUUGCUGUUCUCUAAGGAACUAAGGAAUGGGCUGAUUUUAUGGCCAGCAGCUGUCUUUUUACUAUCCUAUUAACAGUCUUUAAUAGUCUGGGAGAGGGACAUGAAGGACCCAAGGCAGGAAGCUUCCUGUUUACCCUGAGGUCUAACAAUGCUGCAGCU